AGAGUUUGAUCAUGGCUCAGACUGAACGCUGGCGGCACGGCUAAAACAUGCAAGUCGAACGGACCCGCAAGGGUUAGUGGCGGAAGGGUGAGUAAAAGUAUCGAACGUACCCCGAGGUGGGGGAUAGGCACGGGAAACUGUGCGUAAUACCCCAUGAUCUCGAAAGAGCAAAGCAGCAAUGCGCCUUGGGAGCGGCGAUAUACCUAUCAGGUAGUUGGCGGGGUAACGGCCCACCAAGCCGAAGACGGGUAGCCGGUGUGAGAGCACGACCGGCCACAUCGAGACUGAGACACUGCUCGGACUCCUACGGGAGGCUGCAGUAACGAAUAUUCCGCAAUGCGCGAAAGCGUGACGGAGCAAUGCCGCGUGCAGGAUGAAGCGGUUUCGCCGUGUAAACUGCUGUCAGGGGCGAGAAAUACUGAUCAGCCCCAGAGGAAGGACCGGCUAAACUCGUGCCAGCAGCCGCGGUAAGACGAGUGGUCCUAGCGUUAGUCGGAAUCACUGGGCUUAAAGGGUGCGUAGGCGGGCUCGUAAGUGCUUUGUGAAAGCCCCCGGCUCAACCGGGGAACUGCAGGGCAUACUGCGAGCCUUGAGGUAACUAGAGGCCGGUAGAACGAUAGGUGGAGCGGUGGAAUGCGUAGAGAUCUAUCGGAAUGCCGAAGGUGAAGACGCCGGCUGGGGUUUACCUGACGCUGAGGCACGAAAGCGUGGGGAGCAAACAGGAUUAGAUACCCUAGUAGUCC
rnacentral:rRNA from 1 species